rnacentral:lncRNA from 1 species
CAUUUUUUUGCAGAUGAUUCUUUCGACGAUACUCGCGACUUGAAUUAUGGUCCUCAGGUUUAUUCGCAAAUGUGAGUCACGGCACCGUAGCAUUUUACUUGAUAUUAGAACGAGCACGGUAGGUGCAGUGCGCACGCACAAGGAAACAAAUGACGGCAGGGGGAAGAAAGGAGAAGGAGUUUAUGUAUUUGCAGCACAAAAUUAAACAGGUGCGAUCAUACCAGCACUAAUGCACCGGAUCCCAUCAGAACUCCGCAGUUAAGUGUGCUUGUGCGAGAGUAGUACUCGGAUGGGUGACCUCUUGGGAAGUCCUCCUAUCGCACCAAAUUUUUUCAGACAGGUCGUUCGACGCUACGCGCGACUGGAACUAGGGUCCGCUGGUUUAUACGCAAAUGUGAGUCAAGAAGUAGGGGCAUUUUAAUCGAUAUUAGAACGAGAAGGAGAGGUGCAGUGUGAACGCACAAGGAAACAAUUGAUGGGAGGGGGAGGGAAGGAGAAUGAGUGGAUGUAUUUUCAGCACGAAAUGAAACAGGUGCGAUCAUACCAGCACUAAUGCAAUGGAUUCUAUCAGAACUCCGUAGGAAAGGGUGCUUGGGGGAGAGUAGUACUAGCAUGGGUUACCUCCUGCGAAGUCCUUAUAUUUCACCCAUUUUCUUGUGAAGUCCUCGUGUUGCACCCAUUUUUUUGCAAAUGAUUCUUUCGACGAUACGGGCGACUUGAAUUAUGGUCCUCAGGUUUAUUCGCAAAUGUGAGUCACGGCGCUGUAGCAUUUUACUUGAUAUUAGAACGAGAACGGGAGGUGCAGUGCGCACGUAUAAGGAAAAAAAUGACGGGAGGGGGAAGAAAGGAGAAUGAAUUUAUGUAUUUGCAGCGCAAAAUUGAACAGGUGCGAUCAUACCAGCACUAAUGCACCGGAUCCCAUCACAACUCCACAGUUAAGUGUGCUUGGGCGAGAUUAUUACUCGGAUGGGUGACCUCCUCGGAAGUCCUCGUGUCGCACAAAUUUUUUUUCAAACGGGUCGUUCGACGUUACGCGCAUCUGGAACUAAGGUCCGCUGGUUUAUACGCAAAUGUGAGUCAAGAAGCAGGGGUAUUUUAAUCGAUAUUAGAACGAGAAUGAGAGGUGAAGUGUGCACGCACAAAGAAACAAAUGACGGGAGGGGGAAGAAAGGAGAAGGAGUGUAUGUAUUUGCAGCGCGAAAUUAAACAGGUGCGAUCAUACCAGCACUAAUGCACCGGAUCCCAUCAGAACUCCGCAGUUAUGUGUGCUUGUGCGAGAGUAGUACUCGGAUGGGUGACCUCCUUGGAAGUCCUCGUAUCGCACCAAUUUUUUUCAGACAGGUCGUUCGAUGCUACGCGCGACUGGAACUAGGGUCCGCUGGUUUAUACACAAAUGUGAGUCAAGAAGUAGGGGCAUUUUAAUCAAUAUUAGAACGAGAAGGAGAAGUGCAGUGUGAACGCACAAGGAAACAAUUGAUGGGAGGGGGAGGGAAGGAGAAUGAGUGUAUGUAUUUUCAGCACGGAAUGAAACAGGUGCGAUCAUACCAGCACUAAUGCAACGGAUUCUAUCAGAACUCCGUAGGUAAGGAUGCUUUGGCGAGAGUAGUACUAGCAUGAGUUACCUCCUGCGAAGUCCUUAUAUUUCACCCAUUUUCUUGUGAAGUCCUCGUGUUGCACCCAUUUUUUUGCAGAUGAUUCUUUCGACGAUACGCGGGACUUGAUUUAUGGUUCUCAGGUUUAUUUGCAAAUCUGAGUCACGGCACUAUAGCAUUUUACUUGAUAUUAGAACGAGAACGGGAGGUGCAGUGCGCACGCACAAGGAAAAAAAUGACGGGAGGGGGAAGAAAGAAGAAUGAGUUUAUGUAUUUGCAGCGCAAAAUUAAACAGGUGCGAUCAUACCAGCACUAAUGCACCGGAUCCCGUCAGAACUCCGCAGUUAAGUGUGCUUGGGCAGGAUUAGUACUGGAAUGGGUGACCUCUUGGGAAGUCCUGGUGUCGCACCAAUUUUUUUUCAGACGGGUUGUUCGACAUUACGCGCGACUGGAACUAUGGUCCACUGGUUUAUACGCAAAUGUGAGUCAAGAAGCAGGGGCAUUUUAAUCGAUAUUAGAACGAGAAGGAGAGGUGCAGUGUGAACGCACAAUGAAACAAUUGAUGGGAGAGGGAGGGAAAGAGAAGGAGUGUAUGUAUUUUCAGCACGAAAUGAAACAGGUGCGAUCAUACCAGCACCAAUGCUUCGGAUUCUAUCAGAACUCCGUAGGUAAUGGUGCGUGGGCGAGAGUAGUACUAGCAUGGGUUACCUCGUGCGAAGUCCUUAUAUUUCACCCAUUUUCUUGUGAAGUCCUUGUGUUGCACUCAUUUUUUUAC